rnacentral:rRNA from 1 species
UACGGAGGGUGCAAGCGUUGCUCGGAAUUAUUGGGCGUAAAGGGCAGGUAGGUGGUCUCGUUUGUCUGGGGUGAAAGCCUUGAGCUUAACUCAAGAAGUGCCCCAGAAACGGCGAGACUAGAGUUCUGGAGAGGGUCGUGGAAUUCCCGGUGUAGCGGUGAAAUGCGUAGAGAUCGGGAGGAACACCAGAGGCGAAGGCGGCGACCUGGACAGACACUGACACUCAACUGCGAAAGCGUGGGGAGCAAACAGG